rnacentral:rRNA from 1 species
UGCAAGUCGAGCGCGAAAGGCCUUCGGGCUGAGUAGAGCGGCGGACGGGUGAGUAACGCGUAGGAAUCUACCUGGUAGUGGGGGACAACUUGGGGAAACUCAAGCUAAUACCGCAUACGCCCCACGGGGGAAAGCGGGGGACCUUCGGGCCUCGCGCUAUCAGAUGAGCCUGCGUAGGAUUAGCUAGUUGGUGAGGUAAAGGCUCACCAAGGCGACGAUCCUUAGCUGGUCUGAGAGGAUGAUCAGCCACACUGGGACUGAGACACGGCCCAGACUCCUACGGGAGGCAGCAGUGGGGAAUAUUGCGCAAUGGGGGCAACCCUGACGCAGCCAUGCCGCGUGUGUGAAGAAGGCCUUCGGGUUGUAAAGCACUUUCAAUGGGGAAGAAAAGCGUAGCGUUAAUAGCGUUGCGCCGUGACGUUACCCAUAGAAGAAGCACCGGCUAACUCCGUGCCAGCAGCCGCGGUAAUACGGAGGGUGCGAGCGUUAAUCGGAAUUACUGGGCGUAAAGCGCGCGUAGGCGGUUUGUUAAGUCAGCUGUGAAAGCCCCGGGCUCAACCUGGGAACUGCAGUUGAUACUGGCCGACUAGAGUACGAGAGAGGGAGGUAGAAUUCCAUGUGUAGCGGUGAAAUGCGUAGAUAUAUGGAGGAAUACCGGUGGCGAAGGCGGCCUCCUGGCUCGAUACUGACGCUGAGGUGCGAAAGCGUGGGGAUCAAACAGGAUUAGAUACCCUGGUAGUCCACGCCGUAAACGAUGUCUACUAGCCGUUGGGAGACUUGAUUUCUUAGUGGCGCAACUAACGCAAUAAGUAGACCGCCUGGGGAGUACGGCCGCAAGGUUAAAACUCAAAUGAAUUGACGGGGGCCCGCACAAGCGGUGGAGCAUGUGGUUUAAUUCGAUGCAACGCGAAGAACCUUACCAGGUCUUGACAUCCAGAGAACUUUCCAGAGAUGGAUUGGUGCCUUCGGGAGCUCUGAGACAGGUGCUGCAUGGCUGUCGUCAGCUCGUGUCGUGAGAUGUUGGGUUAAGUCCCGUAACGAGCGCAACCCUUGUCCUUAGUUGCCAGC